UGGGGGGAAGGAUGGAGAGAUAAAGAGUGGGGGAAGGAUGGAGAGAUAAAGAUGGGGAAGGAUGGAGAGAAAGAGUGGGGGAAGGAUGGAGAGAAAAGAUGGGCGAAGGAUGGAGAGAAAGAGUGGGGGAAGGAUGGAGAGAUAAAGAGUGGGGAAGGGGGUGCUUAGCUAAAAACUUUAGGGCGAAUCAAUCUGGCAGCGAAAGGGGGGAGGACGUAAGAAAGAGGGGAGAAGAAGAAAGAGGAGAAGGGAGGGGGAGGGAUGCGGUAGAGGGAGAGAGGGAUUAUUCACCGUUUCAAAUGAAUAAUUGCGUAUUGUGUGAAUCUGGC
ensembl:lncRNA